CUUGACCUCGGAUCAGGUAGGGAUACCCGCUGAACUUAAGCAUAUC
rnacentral:rRNA from 10 species